AGCACUACAACGGGUGGAGCCUGCGGUUUAAUUGGACUCAACGCCGGAAAACUCACCGGGGCGACAGCAAUAUGUAGGUCAAGCUAAAGACUUUACCAGAAUCGCUGAGAGGAGGUGCAUGGCCGUCGUCAGUUCGUACUGUGAAGCAUCCUGUUAAGUCAGGCAACGAGCGAGACCCGUGCCCACUGUUGCCAGCAUGUCCUUCGGGAUGAUGGGUACUCUGUGGGGACCGCCGAUGCUAAAUCGGAGGAAGGUGCGGGCUACGGUAGGUCAGUAUGCCCCGAAUCUCCCGGGCUACACGCGGGCUACAAUGACUGGGACAAUGGGCUCCUACCCCGAAAGGGGAUGGUAAUCUCAUAAACCCAGCCUUAGUUCGGAUCGAGGGCUGUAACCCGCCCUCGUGAAGCUGGAAUCCGUAGUAAUCGCGUUUCAACAUAGCGCGGUGAAUACGUCCCUGCUCCUU
rnacentral:rRNA from 1 species